rnacentral:lncRNA from 1 species
GAAACCCGAUGCUGCGGUGUCCUGGGAGCCCCGCGGAGCUGGAGCGACUAUCCUGGGACUGAAGGUCCAGUUUCCCCAGGGCGGAGGCGCAGCAGCGAAAGCCCCCAGAGAAGUGACUCGGAGAAUGACAAGGUGAAGUUCGAGAAGCCACAGACUACGGACCCUGAGGCUCAGAAAGUCUAGGUUUGCCUCUUACUAAGCUGUGUAACCCUGGACACACAGUCUGUCUACGCUGGACCUUCAUGUCUCUUUCUGAAAGGGGGGGAAACCAGAGCGCCUCCCCCUGCGUUCUGGCUCUCAGGUCUUGUGACUACAAACUGCUUUCUCCUGAACGCCUAGGCCUGGCUAUGAAUUGGUGGACAGCAGCAUAGCUUCCAGAGUGUGUCCUUUAGUCCAUCCAGAAGAGAAUUCCAGGAAAAGCACGUAUGUGGAUCACGAUUUGGCCUGACGGUCCCUUAGAAAAAACAGCUCACACCCGAGGUGAACAGUUGGCUGAUAAACGUCAGAGAAUGGCAGAGACCAGGCUCGCUGUCCUUAUAGGCACUACUGCUGGCCACACGCAGACCAAGUCCAACCAGCAUCCGCCAUCUUGUCCAACUGGAGCCCAAGUCCUGAUUUGCCUGAAUGGAAACCCCAGACACCAUAAGGAGUUAGUGCUUGACCUUCCUGCUUUGAGAGGCCUCACAACUCCCUGACUGGAGGGGAGAGCAUUUGCUGGCAGUCCCCAGGAUUCUAGUUGCUGAUUUCUUCCCAGUGAUGGGAUGAGCAAUGUGGCCUGUGAAGAUAGGCAGAUAAUUCAGCAACUUUUCCAAUGAGGUCAAUAUAGGCUUCUGAGUGAACUUGCUGUCCCAGGGGUCCAUGACCUCUUUGUUGAGAGCUGUGCUGAGGUACAAUGAGGGAGUGGGCAAGGGCCAAAGUGCCAAGAUGAUGGGGAUGUCCUUUUGUAUAUGUUUCUCUUAUUGGUUGGUGAAUAAAACACUGUUGGGCCAAUGGCCAACGAGACAGGAAGAUAGGCGUGACUAGGAAAGGAAUUGAGUCUGGGGAAGGUAGGCAGAGAGCCCUCCAGAACAGUUGUGAUGUAGCAGGCAAAGGAGUUGCAGGCCCAGCAUUCUCCGGUAAGCCAAGACCACGUGGAAGUACAUAGAUUAGUAGUUAUGGGUUAAUAAUUAAGACAGAGCUAGCCAAUAUAAA